CUCAGAGAGCACGUCAUGCAGUGUCAAUUUCCUAAGACCUUCAAAUCAAACACAUGCAGAAGUUUGCUUCAUUUCCUCUUCGGAAUGUAGAAUCGCACACUUCCAUUACCAUAAAUUAAAGGUGUCGAAAGGGGCAAGUGUUAUUGAACUUGACUGCUGAAUAAACUUAAGAAAGGAAUGACAAAAGAAGGAUGUGAUUGGGACGGCGCAACAGAGCGUAGUGGUUAGCAUCGGCAAUUUGAAGACUGAGAUUCAACCUAAAGGAGUUUGUACGUUCUCCUUAUGAGCACAUGGGUUUCUUCCAGGUGCUCUGGUUUCCUCCCACAGUCCAAACAAGGCUUAGUAAGUUUUGGACAUACUAUGUUGGUACUGGAACCAUGGCAACACUUGCGGACAGCCCCUAGCACAUCCCUGGGCUGUGUUGGUCAUUGUAUGUUUUGAUGUUUCAAUGUACUGUACAUAUAAAAGAUAAAGCUAUUCUUAAUCUUAAAUAUUUACCAGGGGGAAGUCCUCUUCUCCUCAAGGUGUAGAGUGUCAUACUCACCUGAGAGGGGUGAAGGGGCGUGGUUAAUGUGAAAUCUCCAUUAAUCGCAGAAAUUCCUCAGCUCUCUGGUGGAAUGAGGACCGUAGCAUUUGCAUUAUGUUUCUGGAAGAGGAUAUAGAGAGCUGUCUUUCUGAAUCAGAGUGCUACCAACUGAAUUGUGGCUGGCGUUUAUUACACCCACUACUACCCAGCGUUAAUUUAAUAUAUGGGCUGGAGCUCCACGAGCAAGACAACAUGAAUACAGAAUAACAACACACACAAAAUGCUGGUGGAACACAGCAGGCCAGGCAGCAUCUAUAGGGAGAAGCGCUGUCGACGUUUCGGGCCGAGACCCUUCGUCAUGAAUACAGAAUACUAGCCAAACCUUUGGAGCUCUCUCCCACUAUUGAGAUGAUUCCUCAGAUCAAGCCAGCUUACUUGUCAUGAUGAGCGUUGACAGGCAAGGAAGAAUGGAAGACUCCCAUGUACAGAUGGAAACAAGAGGUUAUACUUAUAAAUUUCAACAGGACAUCAGUGACAUGACCGAAUGACACUGAAGGACAAAUCAUUCUCAACACAGGCACCCCACAAUGAGCAUAAAAAGGGGGUCCACAUUUAAUAAUCAUAGAGAGCGGAAAGCCCGUGCCAGUCAGAAUUAACUUGACAAGAUUAAACAGAAAGCACAAGGGUUUAACGACUCUCAUUAAGAUGACAAUUAGUGAAUACGGGUCUUCGAGAAACUUUGAGCCCUAACGCUAUGGCUCACCGCAAUGGCCCUGAAGGCUCAUGACAAUGGCUGAGCAGCAAGGAAUGAAAAGAGCAGUUCAAUAGGCAGAGACCAGGUAAGAGAGAUCACAAUUGUCCUUGUAGCUUUCUUGCUGAUACAAGUUGAGCCUCACCCUGGCCAGCAGUGAGAAGGCACAGAGAGCCAGGAUGUCAAAUGUCCUAUUGGGUCCUAUUGAAGCAUCAGUUUUGGGAAUGCAGUUAUCUGAAAGCAGCAAAGCAACAACAAUAAAAAAAAUCCUUUUUCACCUGAAGCAACUUAGGCAAGAAUAUUAUUGAAACAGGCUACACACCGGAUGUAAUUUGUUUAUGCAUACAAGUGACCAUGAGCUUAUUUUGUAACCAAGGCUCUUCCAUUCUCCAGACACGCAUCACUCUCUCACCCUUCCUCUCCACUUGAUUUGUGAGUAUCGUGGAUUCAGAAGUUCAGAAUCCUUUGGAAAUCUUGUCAAUAAUUGAGUACAUUGUUACUUUAAAAACUCUGCACAAUUCUACUAAAGAAAAUAAUAAUAUACUCAAGCGAUUGAUUUAAUCUACAUUAUUUCAGUUUUGUUCAAUUCCUAAGAUAUAUUGUUCAGAUUCCAUAAGCCCAUGAGACAUUGGAGCAGAAAUAAACUAUUUGGCCCAUUGUCUUCUCCACCAUUCUGUCAUGUUUGGUUUAUUAUAUAACUUCACAAUAUAAACUGCUUUAAUAAUAGAAACUUGCAUUUAUAUGGCACCUUCCUAUUCCUAUCUGCGCAGAGCAUCCCAAGUGCUUUCCAGACAUUGAAGUACUUUGAAAGGUGUACAAGAUGAUAGGAGGGUUAUCAAGUGGAUAGCUAGAGUGGAAAUGGCUAAUAUGAGGGGGCAUAAUUUUAAAGUGAUUGGAGGAAAGUUUCUGGGGAGUGUCAGAUGUACGCUUUUUAUGCAGAAAGUGGUGGGUGCGCAGAAUACCCUGCCGGGGUGGUGGGGUGGAGGCAGAUACAUUAAGGACUUUAAGAAACUCUUAGAUAGGCACAUGGAUGAUAGGAAAAUGGAGGGUUAUGUGGGAUGGAAGGGUUAGAUUGAUCUCAGAAUUGGUUAAAAGGCCGUAUCAACUUCAUGGGCUGAAGGGACAGUACUGUGGUGUAAUGUUCUAUGAAAGUGCAACAACAAUUGUAAUGAAGGGAGCACCUCACAUGAACUCCCACAGCCCAGGCUUAGAUUUAUUGACAUGAUGGUGUUGACUUUCUUAAUAGUUGUUGGAGCUGCACUUACCCAGAAUCAAUCCCUUGAAAGUCUUGGCCGUCUUUUAAACAGUUCUAAAUGUGUCACUCUUUAUCAGGUGAAAUGUUUGCAGGACAAAGCCAGUCAAGGACGAGCAGCAAGGUCGAGUGAGGAGUUUCGAGUAGGAAGAUUGCAUGAUGACAAAUCAGGGCAGGCUCUUUUGAAGACUCUGACCUGGAGUUACAUGCUGACUUUGGUUCUUUGCGGAAAUGGGACCCACUCUCAGGGCCUCACCACUGGCCGUUUUCCAAUAUGACAAGGAUGCGGCCCGGAAGAUUAGCAUGGUUUCAGGGUGCCGGAUUUUCAUGGAUCUGGAGGCGGGUGGAUUCAAGGCUGGUGCCGCCACCUGGUGUGUCGUGGGAGUACAUGCAAUAUCGUAACCGGUGAGCUGGCUGCUGGCUGUGUGCCCAGAGACCCGAGUUCUUUGGGCACAGAGCUCGUAAAAAGAAAAACAACAGACUUUUAACACCAUAAAUCAGCAAAUUGCUUUGUUAUGUCUCUCCUCUCGCUGUGAAACAGGGACACCUCUUUUUCCCUUAUUAGGGAGGAAGAGAGCCUGUGGGAUGUUGAAUACCAGGUGAACAAGUAGUUUUUCAGGGUACUGCAAGUCUGUUUCUUUAUUGAUGCUUUGCUGCAUGCU